rnacentral:lncRNA from 1 species
GGAUUCGGAUUUCUGUAAUUCAACAUUAUCAACGACAGUCGAUUUCGGAAGGUCCAUUUCUUAGCCCAAUCUUUUUUUUAUCUAUCUUGGUGCGUUGAAUGGUUUGUGAAUAUGUUGGUGUUAUUAUGUUUUGAUUGGAUUCUUGUUGAUGUUGAUCGUGACAUUUGUGAUUCGGCUAUGUUUGGUUUGAGGAAUGAAUUUGAUCAUGUUUAAUGGGUUGAUAAAAUUGGAGUGGAAUCACGAGAUUGAUAAAAUGACGAAUUUGGGUUAAUGAUGGUUUUAUUGUUACUUUUUGUUCAACUUGGAAUAAACAUGAAUAAUAUUGGUGAACUCGAUAGUGUCACGAUUUUAUGUCGCUAAUUGGAUAUGCAAACGGUAGGUUCGAGUAGGCAAAUUUAGGCAUGGUGGAUUGAUGACAUGUUUGAAAUAUGUGUUGGAAUGGUUUUGUUUUUUUUAUCAC